GGAGUAGGAAAAACUGAAGAGCUCCCAGAAAUCCAUAUGGAUGCAGCAUCUCCUGGACCCAGAGUAACUUUUAACAUCCAGGACACAUUCUCCCAAAACUCCUGGACGCUUUUCAUCAAACAUUCCUUUCGAACCUGAAGAAGCCAGGCGAGAUGACAGUUUGUCUUCUACCAGUGAAGACUCUGAGAAGGAUGAAAAGGAUGAAGACCAUGAGGGGGAAAGGUUUUACAUUUACAGGAAACCCUCACAUACAUCUCAUAAAAAAGCAACAGGCUUUGCUGCUGUUCAUCAGCUAUUUACAGAACGCUGGCCAACAACACCAGUCAACCGAAGUCUUACUGGCACAGCUACUGAGAAAAAUGUUGACUUUGAACUUGAUAUAUGGGUUGAAAUUGAUAGUGGAAAAUGUGUACUCCACCCAACCAUCCUUCUACAAGAACAUGAUAUAAG